UUGUAAAAAUGAAUUAGAAAUUUAUAUUAUUUUAGCAAAAUUGCACAAUACCCACUUGUGAUUUCAUGAAAUUAUAUCAAAUUCCUCUUUCUUUGAAAAAUGCAUGAAAUUCCUUCGUGGUCUCGUAACGUCUGCUCACUAGCCCCUUACCUCAACGGGCAUUGAUGGUAUCAGAAUUUUUAUCUGAAUUUUCCCGUUAUGCCCCUCGAUAAUAUCUUACUUCUUUUAUGUAAUUUACUUAUUUUAAAUAAUAAUAAUAAAACACCUUUCUCUCUCCCAAUAAUCUUCAACAGAUGAUGCAACUUCACGAGGAACAUGAAGGAGACUGUUUUUCGAUUCUGGCUAGCGAUUUCUGUCGAAACAACCAUCUAGUGCCUUGCAAAAACUUUAGUGGUGUGGUCCCUCAACAAUGGCUGGAAUCACACAUGUCACUAUCUAUCUAUGGUUGGAUAGUUAUAUCAAAUGAGAGAGCCCCACAAGAGAUUACCAUCGUGGUCGAAUUGUAUGGUUUCCAGAUACUGGAUGUACUUGGGAGCUCUCUAUGAUAUGUAUAUCCGAGCAUGGGGCAAGGAAACAGUGGUCUCAUUUUGUCAUGCCGAGUGUGACGACCUCUAGGAUUGUUUUCUUCAAGACUUUACCAGCGUAAAAGUGAUGCAAAUGUUGUAAACACGUUCAAAGUUUAUUACGAAAGAAAUGUUAUAAGCAUCUACGCUGAGAUUUAGGGCAUUCUAAUGAUGGUCUGUGACGAAUACGAACGACUAGUACGAAGGAUCAAUGAACUCUGGAUGCUGCAAUGGCACGGGGAUUGGGCAAGUAGACGUUAUGAACCAGUCAAUAGCAGUGUUCCAGCUCGGGAUGUAAAAGCUCAGCAUGGUACAAUGUCUAUUGAGUGUGAUGAGGAUAAUGAAGAUACAUUCGUAGAGAAGAUGUGUAGAGUAAGAACUGAUCAGUUUAAUGAUGAACCAAACGAGAACAUGACCCGUGGCUUCGAUCCGAUAGAGGAACUACUCCGUGAAAAAGGCGAGGCUGUUGACAUGAACGGUUCCGACGAGUAGAUCACAAUUGGCGGAGCUGCAAGAAUGAUUCAGCCCCUCCACCGAGUACAAGAAAUAAUUAACGUAGGAGUCAAGGUAGGAACCAACACCAAAACAGAAGUGCAGACAACUCUCGUGUUGAGUAGGUUGCCGCAAAUACGACAAUGUCCAACACAAUAGACGUGUCUCAUAGAAGACUGUCAAUUUCACCCAUCCUGCGAAGUGUGUAAUUUACAUCUGUUCUGCGGUGGGGACGAGGCAGAGGCACCAAUAUGGGAAAAUAAGGUGCUGUUGUAAUGCCCCGAUUUCGGAGUGUAUAAAAUAAUAUUAUUAUCGAAAAUAAAUAUUUUAUAAUA